rnacentral:tRNA from 1 species
GCCUGGCUGGCUCAGUCAGUAGAGUAUGCGACUCUGGAUCUAGGGGCUGUGGGUUCGAGCCCCACGUUGGGUG